CAGUAGCCGCGGUAAUACGUAGGUGGCAAGCGUUGUCCGGAAUUAUUGGGCGUAAAGGGCUCGCAGGCGGUUUCUUAAGUCUGGUGUGAAAGCCCCCGGCUCAACCGGGGAGGGUCAUUGGAAACUGGGGAACUUGAGUGCAGAAGAGGAGAGUGGAAUUCCACGUGUAGCGGUGAAAUGCGUAGAGAUGUGGAGGAACACCAGUGGCGAAGGCGACUCUCUGGUCUGUAACUGACGCUGAGGAGCGAAAGCGUGGGGAGCGAACAGGAUUAGAUACCCCUGUAGUCCCUGUCUCUUAUAC
rnacentral:rRNA from 1 species